ACUGGGGGAGGGGCACAUUUGGUCACAAUUACAUUCUGUGAAAGGAUUGCCCCCUGCUGGAGGCUCUGGGUAUUACUGGACUCAAAAGAGAAUUUUUGUGUGAAGUCUCAGUUUUAGUUUAAGACAUAAACAGAUGUUUUCCUCCAGUCAGAAUCACAUGUCUCACCUGUGUGUUAUAUUACAUUUUUCAAGUUUUUUCCUUUUUUUUUCUACAUUUGUUGACUCAAACUUAAAGUCAUCCAGUCGUGAAAAGAAGUAAAAAAAAAGAAAAAUUCCAACUGUGACUCAGUUUUCUUUUUCAAAAUAAGAGCAUAAUAAUCUAAUUUUUUUAUGUAAUAGUUUUUACAUUUGGCUGAAGAAGUUCUAUAUUCACUCUCAUCAAAAUAAAUAAUUCAGAGAAAUACGAGCAAAAUUAGAAAACAAAGGAAAUAUCAAAGACUUUAAAAAAAAACAGGGAAAAAAAUCCUCUAGGAGUGAGGCAUCUGUCCAUUCAUAGAUCCUUCGUUCAUUACAGCAUCUUGGAGCUGAAACAUUUAUCUUUUGGCUGACCGCUGAUGCACAGACCAUUAGUCUGUGUUUGUACAGGAAGGAUGGAGGAGGAAGUUCUGCAGGUGAGCGUCUAGUUUUGGAGGCUGCAGCCACACGUCUUUAGAGGUGGGACACGCCUCCUUUUUUUAAAACUGAGACUUGACGGGAAUCAAACCCUAAACUCUGAUCUUCCCAGUGUUAGAAUGGUAAAGUCAGUGAGAGGAGAGCUUUAUUCUGAAAAUCCCCUCAGAGUCAGAAGCUGCAGAGCCUCAGAAAUGUUAAAAAGAGGAGAAACAUGAAGACUGGCCGUGCACAGGAGCGCGCACGGCUCAGCUUUGAAUGAACUGUGGGAAAACUUCCUAUUUAGGACAUGACUCCGACUCCUGCCUGUGUUUGGCGUGCUCCCCCCUCUGGUUCCUCUACAUCCUUCGCCCCCUCCAUCUGUCCUUCCUCGUCUCUCCUCAUCUUCCUCCCUCUGCCGAUGACUCCGCUCCAUAUUUAGUCAUGAGCGUUUGGACGGAUUCUGAUGUGCAGCCCGCCGCUCCGCGUCUGCUGCGGCUUCAUACCGAACCCCAAACCGGACCGGGUCGGGUUCUGCUCGGGUCGGGUUGACCUCCAUCCUCCAAACGGAGCAACUUUCUGCCCCUUUCAGAUGUUUGCAGCUUUGUUCUCCUGAAGGUCACGUGGAGGUCACCAGAGACGGAAGGAAAGAUGAAGCUGGAGCCUAAAGGAAUGUAUUCCAGCUUCUCCCAGCAGGGGGCGCUGGUUAACACGGAUUCAGCUUACAGAAUGGAGGACGUCUGAAAUGUUUGACCUCAUCUCUCAACAAAAUAAAUUAAUCAUUUGUAGGAAUCAAGUCUUCUUUUGGGGUGAAAAUGUGAUUUUUUUCGAAAAUAAUAAUGAACAUCCUGACAGAAAAAACGUUUUUCAAAUCCUGCUUCACCUUAAAUGAAAUAACAAAAAACUUGUGAAAGAAUUCCCCUGCAGCCCUCAGCCUGUCAGUCACAGCUCAGGGCAGAACCAGCAGGAUCUGAGCACGCUCAGAAGGAAGCAGGAGAAAAUCCAUCUGCACAUUUUGAAAAGGAGGAAGUGAAGGAGGUGAAAGAAUGAAGAUGAAAGUGGAGCGAUAACAGGGAUGCUGUGGAACGUCAAAGCAGCAGGGAGGAGGAGAAGAGGAGAACUUGGACCAGAGGUGACAGCAGCAGGAGGUGCAGAGGGAGGCGGAGGGGCUCUUACCGUGGCGGUCUGAUGGGUGAUGUGGGGGGGGCAGGACAGAAGUGAGGGGCCGUGGAGCUGCAGGCGGCUUUAUCAGACCUCCACCCCUCCAUCCAUCCCUCCAUCCAAACAUGGCCAGGCCGUCCUCCUCCUCCCCGCCGGCUCCUCAGCUCCAUUCCUUUUAGGGCUGGCCCAGAGGAGCGUGGCCAAUCAGGGAGCUCGCCGCGCCGCCGCACUUUCUCCCAUCAUUCACUGCAUUCCUGUGAGGGAGACAACGAUGCCAGGAGAGUACUCGGUUACUGGGGGAAGUAUCCGAGUACACCCAAGUUCUGUGUGCUGAAGCUUUGAAACCGGAGGAACUUUUUCCUUCUGAACUUUCAAAGAUUUUCAUCGUAAUUUCUGAAAAAAGAAUUGAAGGAUUUUGAUUUCCUCGGAGCUGAGAUGCUUCUGUGGAGGUUCUGACCUGGAGUCAGUUUGAUGCUUCACUUGUCCUCGUGUCAGUCUGACUGACUCUCAGUCCUGAGCAGAACAAGCCCACAUCAUGACUCCUCUGCCGCCGUGCUCGACAGUGUGAGGAAACAUCUUUAUAUUCCAGUUUUGUGCUCCUCAGGGUUUACAGAAGUUUGGCCUUUAUAGGUUUCAGACGUUCCUGCUCUCCAGCGGAUCAUCUGGAUCGGUGGUUCUGGAUGGGUGGUUCUGGAUGGGUGGCUCUGGAUGGGUAAUUCUGGAUGGGUGAUUCUGGAUGGGUGAUUCUGGAUCGGUGGUUCUGGAUGGGUGGUUCUGGAUGGGUGGUUCUGGAUGGGUGGUUCUGGAUGGGUGGUUCUGGAUGGGUGGUUCUGGAUGUGCAGACGACUCCAACAGAACGUUCCCAUUCUCAGCUGUGCUGCUGCUGACGGAUUUACAUGGAAUGAUUCAAACAUUCAAACAGCUCAGACGGGGGUCUGACUGUCCGGAUCUCAGAUGGUUCCUGUCAUCUCUGCAGCUCUGAGGAUCAGCCCAAGUUCUGAGGCCCAAAAGCAUCAGAUAAAACGUUUUUAGAGAAUCAGUCCACAGACACGUCAAACUACAAGAUUUCUGUUUUUAUUAUUGAAUAGAAAUCAGAGAUAAAUGUGUUGAAUUACAAAUUAAACAGAUUCACAUGUGGGUCGACUGCAGGAAUGAAAAAUAACGACUUUUCUUUCCAGCUUUCCAGAGUUUAGAUUCAUGCAGAGAAACUGACAGAAAUGGACAUGGAAGCUCGUCAGUCGUAAAUGGAAAUUUGAUCUGAAAUAAUCGUGACAAAACACCAAAUAAGAAUUAAAGUUUCUCUGCUCGUUUGUUAGCUGAGCGUCAAAGACUGUUUGCUGAGGACACACUGCAGUCAUGUGACCUGUUUGUGCAUUUGAUUUAAACUUGUUAAAGACAGAAAUUUCAGCUGCUCUGCAUUGACUGUACAGGAAAACUGGACAGAGCAAGUGUGACGUCAUCUAUCCGGCUCCACCCAAUAAAGAUGAUUAAGACGCCA